rnacentral:SRP_RNA from 1 species
GAUUGGGUCCCUGGCGGCGAAUCGCUGCCGAAUCGUGUCAGGUCCGGAAGGAAGCAGCACUAAGGCGGAUGCUUCGGGUGAUCAGGACUACCUGGUCGUC